UACGUAGGUGGCAAGCGUUAUCCGGAUUUAUUGGGUUUAAAGGGUGCGUAGGCGGAUUAGUAAGUCAGUGGUGAAAGCCCGUCGCUUAACGGCGGAACUGCCAUUGAUACUGCUAGUCUUGAGUAUGGUUGAGGUGGGCGGAAUGUGUCAUGUAGCGGUGAAAUGCUUAGAUAUGACCCAGAACACCAAUUGCGAAGGCAGCUCGCUAAGCCAUAACUGACGCUGAGGCACGAAAGCGUGGGGAGCAAACAGG
rnacentral:rRNA from 1 species